CAACCCUCAAGCGCUGCUUGGUGUUGGGCCCUGCCCGCGCGGCCGGCCCUAAAGACAGUGGCGGCGCCGCCUGGCUCGAAGCGCAGUACGACCCUCGCUCUCGCGCCCGGCGGUGGCCAGCCAGCAACCCCCAACCCCGU
rnacentral:misc_RNA from 1 species